rnacentral:rRNA from 1 species
AUAUUAAAUUGCCUGCCCAAUGAGAUUGUUUUAAUGGUUGCAGUAAUUUAACUGUUCAAAGGUAGCAUAAUCAUUAGUUUUUUAAUUGAGAGCUAGAAUGAAUGGUUUGAUGAAAUAAAAACUUUAUUAAUUUAAUAGAUUGAAUUUUAUAUUUUAGUAAAAAAGCUAAAAUUUACAUAUUAGACGAGAAGACCCUAUAGAUUUUUAUAAGAUUAAGUAAAAGAUAUUUUUAGAAUUUUUAAUAUUUGGUUAUUUAAAUUAUUUGAUUGGGGUGAUAGUAAAAUUUAAAUAAUUUUUAUUUAAUUUAUACAUUAAUAUAUGAAUUUUCUUUGAUCCAAUAAGUUGAUAAAAAAAUUAAAAUACCUUAGGGAUAACAGCAUAAUUUAUUUGAAAAGUUCAUAUUGAUAAAUAAGAUUAUGACCUCGAUGUUGGAUUAAGAUAAAUUUUAGAAGUAGAAAUUUAAAAAUUAAGUC